rnacentral:rRNA from 1 species
GAGUUUGAUCAUGGCUCAGGACGAACGCUGGCGGCGUGCCUAACACAUGCAAGUCGAACGGAAGUUAGAGCUUCGGUUUUAACUUUAGUGGCGAACGGGUGAGUAACGCGUGAGGAACCUGCCUUUCAGUGGGGGACAACAGUUGGAAACGACUGCUAAUACCGCAUGACACUUUUGAGGGACAUCCCUUAAAAGUCAAAGCUUUAUGUGCUGAAAGAUGGCCUCGCGUCUGAUUAGCUAGUUGGUGAGGUAACGGCUCACCAAGGCGACGAUCAGUAGCCGGUCUGAGAGGAUGAACGGCCACAUUGGGACUGAGAUACGGCCCAGACUCCUACGGGAGGCAGCAGUGGGGAAUAUUGGGCAAUGGGGGAAACCCUGACCCAGCAACGCCGCGUGAAGGAAGAAGGCCCUCGGGUUGUAAACUUCUUUUACCAGGGACGAAGGACGUGACGGUACCUGGAG